GACCACGGUGAGUUUAAUUUGAAUGGACAUUACUUGCUAGUCUUGACAUUUGAGUGUCAUCAUGCUAACGAGACAUUGGAAAUGAUCUUUGGUGCAGCGUAACUCCAUACAAGCAUCGCACGAUCCUUCUCCAGCUACCGGCACGAGCCAGCCCACUCCUACACCUCCAUGGUCAUGGUAAGUUUUUCUAGUGUUUUGCUUAACAAAUGCAUAAAGACCUAGACUUAGCCUUAUUUCCUUCAAUAUGCUUACCACAAUGACCUAGAAUUAGCUUCUUUUCCUCCAAAAUGACUUAAUAAGCUUACUGACCUCCAAAACCAUCCAUUUUACCUAAGUUAGCUCUAAAACAAUCUAUACUUAGCUUUGUUUCCUCCAAAAUGACCUAAGUUAGCUCUAAUAUGCUUAAUUAACUAGGUUUGCUCAAUAAUGACAUGUACUUAGCUUACUUAUGUCAAAAAUGGCAUAAUUUGCUUAGUUAGCUCAUAAACAAUCCAUUUUACCCAAGUUAGCUCUAAAAUGACACAUUCUACCUUAGUUAGCUCAUAAAUGAUCCAUUUUUACCCAAGUUAGCUCUAAAAUGACCCAUUUUACGUAGACUAGCUUCAAAAUGAUCCAUUUUACCUAUGUUAGCUCUAAAAUGACCCAUUUUACCUAGGUUAGCUCCAAAAUGACCCAUCUUACCUAGGUUAGCUCCAAAAUGAUGCAUUUUACCCAAGUUAGCUUUAAAAUGACCCAUUUUACCUAGAUUAGCUCAUAAACGAUCCAUAUCACCUAGGUUAGCUCACAAACGAUCCAUUUUACCUAGUUUAGCUCCAAAAUGACCCAUCACACCUAGGUUAGCUCUAAAAUGAUGCAUUUUACCUAAGUUAGCUCAUAAACGAUCUAUUUCACCUAGGUUAGCUCAUAAACGAUCCAUUUAACCUAACUUAGCUAAAAAACGAUCCAUUUCACCUAGGUUAGCUCCAAAAUGACCCAUCUUACCUAGGUUAGCUCUAAAAUGAUGCAUUAUACCUAAGUUAGCUCAUAAACGAUCUAUUUCACCUAGGUUAGCUCAUAAACGAUCCAUUUCAACUAAGUUAGCUCAUAAAUGAUCCAUUUCACCUAAGUUAGCUCAUAAAUGGCAUAUACUACUUCUUCUAGUCACCUUUUUUCUAACUUUCUUAUUUGCCAUUUUGCAUAUUUCAUUCACUUCACGGAAGCUAGCUUGCUAUGAUGGAGUGCUUGUUUUUUCUUUCAUUCUCCUCUAGUAUUCUUCUAGCUUGCUAUGAUGGAACUUGCUAUCUUGAUGAAACUUUGCAUUGUAAUAUGUAUGGAUGGAACAAUGUGUAUGUGCAACUUAUUAUGUAUGAAUGGAUGGAACUAUAUAUGUAUGCACGAUGAAACUUAUGUGCUGGAUAUGUCAUAUGUUUGCUGUUAAAUAGCCC
rnacentral:lncRNA from 1 species